rnacentral:rRNA from 1 species
CAACUCGCCUGCAUGAAGUCGGAAUUGCUAGUAAUCGUGGAUCAGCAUGCCACGGUGAAUACGUUCCCGGGCCUUGUACACACCGCCCGUCACACCAUGGGAGUCGGUAACACCCGAAGCCUGUAGUCUAACCGCAAGGAGGACGCAGUCGAAGGUGGGAUUGAUGACUGGGGUGAAGUCGUAACAAGGUAAC